UGGGGAAUAUUGGACAAUGGGCGCAAGCCUGAUCCAGCCAUGCCGCGUGAGUGAUGAAGGCCCUAGGGUUGUAAAGCUCUUUCACCGGUGAAGAUAAUGACGAUAACCGGAGAAGAAGCCCCGGCUAACUUCGUGCCAGCAGCCGCGGUAAUACGAAGGGGGCUAGCGUUGUUCGGAUUUACUGGGCGUAAAGCGCACGUAGGCGGACUUUUAAGUCAGGGGUGAAAUCCCGGGGCUCAACCCCGGAACUGCCUUUGAUACUGGAAGUCUUGGGUAUGGUAGAGGUGAGUGGAAUUCCGAGUGUAGAGGUGAAAUUCGUAGAUAUUCGGAGGAACACCAGUGGCGAAGGCGGCUCACUGGACCAUUACUGACGCUGGGGUGCGAAAGCGGGGGGAGCAAACAGG
rnacentral:rRNA from 1 species